CCUACGGGGGGCAGCAGUAGGGAAUCUUCCGCAAUGGACGAAAGUCUGACGGAGCAACGCCGCGUGAGCGAUGAAGGCCUUCGGGUCGUAAAGCUCUGUUGUUAGGGAAGAACACGUACGAGAGUCACUGCUCGUACCUUGACGGUGCCUAACCAGAAAGCCACGGCUAACUACGUGCCAGCAGCCGCGGUAAUACGUAGGUGGCAAGCGUUGUCCGGAAUUAUUGGGCGUAAAGCGCGCGCAGGCGGUCUCUUAAGUCUGAUGUGAAAGCCCACGGCGAAACCGUGGAGGGUCAUUGGAAGCGGGGGGAUUGGGGGGCAGAAGAGGGGGGUGAAAGCCCGGGGUGAGGGGGGAAAGGCGAGGAGAGGGGGAGGAACGCGAGGGGGGAGGGCGACUCUCGGGUGUGAAACUGACGCGGAGGGGCGAAAGGGUGGGGAGCAAACGGGAUUAGAUACCCUGGUAGUC
rnacentral:rRNA from 1 species